UUAAGCGUGAAGUCGGUGGUUCAAGUCCACUCAGGCCCA
rnacentral:tRNA from 1 species